rnacentral:lncRNA from 1 species
UUCAAACUCUCUCAUUUUCAUGCCACAACAUCAAACACUCCUCCUAGAUACAAGCAAUGGCCGAACUUCUUCAAAAUUUUUCUCCCUUUCUUUUUCUUGGUUUUUCGGCUAGGAGAUGGCAAGUAUGAACACCCCCUUUUUUUUUGUUCACUUUCCUAUUAUUAUUCCCAUCAUUUGUUAACUAAAAAAAACAUAUUAAAU